rnacentral:RNase_MRP_RNA from 14 species
AGGCUUUGGGGAAGUUCCUCGGACGUUAGGGCAGCAAGUGUCCGUCGUAAAGACCAGAGGGAUCGGAAGGUGCGGGUGGGAAGGAGGCUAAGAAGCGAGUUUCUUCCACGUUUUACUGUGUGGUUGUGAGCAAGCCGAG